rnacentral:rRNA from 1 species
CCUACGGGGGGCAGCAGUGGGGAAUAUUGGGCAAUGGGCGCAAGCCUGACCCAGCAACGCCGCGUGAAGGAAGAAGGCUCUCGGGUUGUAAACUUCCUUUGACAGGGAAGAGCAGAAGACGGUACCUGUCGAAUAAGCCAUGGCUAACUACGUGCCAGCAGCCGCGGUAAUACGUAGGUGGCAAGUGUUGUCCGGAUUUACGGGGUGUAAAGGGCGUGUAGCCGGGCUGACAAGUCAGAUGUGAAAUCCGGGGGCUCAACCCCCGAACUGCAUUUGAAACUGUUGGUCUUGAGUAUCGGAGAGGCAGGCGGAAUUCGUGGUGUAGCGGUGAAAUGGGUAGAUAUUAGGAGGAACACCAGUGGCGAAGGCAGCCUGCUGGACGACAACUGACGGUGAGGCGCGAAAGCGUGGGGAGCAAACAGGAUUAGAUACCCUUGUAGUC